UCACACAUUACAAACACCAGGAAUGAAACAGGAUGUUCUAGACCACAGAUCAUCAGCACAGAUCCACAAACACAAAUUACACAACACAGAGGAAACGGACCAGCUUCUUAAAGCAUGUAAACCACCACGACUUUAUGUGAAACGGAUAAUUCCAACCACAAGUUCUGUAACUACAUUCCUGGACCGUGAUGAAGUUCGUGGCGCCUACAGAACGGCCAUGACUGGCCAAGCGGCUCAAGGUGUGGAGGCCCUGGGCUGUGAUCAGCGCCAGUUGCCCUGGGCCUACAGCAAGGUCCUGGAGGCCACAAGUCCAGGGCAGAACAGCUCGUCAUCUAAGCCCUGUUGAGGGCCCUGUCUGCAGCCCGUGACCUGGUGGAGCGCCGCGGUGGGUGUGCCUGUGAGGGCUGUGAGGGGGCAGUCACAGGGCAGAUGGGAGGGUUGGGCUCCCUCACUCCCCUCCCACUAGGCUCCCCCAGAAAUCAUAAAAUGCUUCCCAAGGGUGUAGCCCCCAGUGACCCCAACUCCCUCCUGUGCCCUCUUGAAGACUCUGACGCUUCCCACACCCCCACGUGGCUCAGGGCCACACAAGAUCCUCUGGGGGACAAAGGAGGAGGAGGGGAGCGCCGCCUGUGAGCUGUUCAGGGAUCUCCCGGCUGUGGGAUCUGCCUGGAGCUGGCGUGACCUGGGAAACUGGAUCACCAGGAGACUCCACCGGGGCGCUUAGCAAAAGCUGCCUGGGUGUGUGGAGACCGGGUGUGCAUGGUGCUAGCUCAGGGUGGAGCCCGGACAGGCGGGCUGAGUCUGAGGGCUUCGUUGGAGGCCUGGGCACCGCCCCUCCGUGCACAGGGAUGACACCCCGCUCCUCACACUGCCUGGUCCUGCAUGAAUCUGCCCUUCCUGAACCUACAGAGCCUGGUGCCAGCUAUGCCGUGCUGAGCAGUGGUGGAGGGCUCGGAGGACAAAUGGAUGUGCUCUCAAUGCCCCCUUUGGCGGAGAAGAGUUGAGAGCCCUGUGUAAGGUCUGCCCUGAAGGGGAGGCAGGUAACAAGCGCCCACUCUCAUGCUGGUCCCAGGGCCUCUCUGUGUCUGCUGUUCUUAGCCAGGCCUUGGUGACUUCAACUCUGUACCACUCAGCAGGAGCUGGCACGCAGUGGGUGCCCAAUAAGUGCUGCAGGGACAGCUCUGAAGCACACCCUGACUCCACCGCGGAGCCUUGCGCCACCCAGAAUCCUCUCUGCUUGUCCCUGCCCUCAUUUUCACCAUCGCUUUACAUAACAUGGGUGGUUUCACCUUCUAAAAAAAUACUAACUCAAUUACUCUGUGAAUAUUUAUCAGAACCAAAGGAAUGAAAAUAAGCUCCCGCAGCGCAGAAACCCAGAUGUUUGGGGUUAUUUUUCCAACACAGUGCUCAACUAUUUUACUUAUUUACUGUUUUUCUUAAGACACAAGGCAGACUGUGCUGUGAUGUGGACAGAGGCCCUGUCCUUGCGUCCCCUGUCCCUCGGGAGUGUGGGCACACUGGGCGGCCACCCCGGGCGGCUGAGGCGGGACAGACCGGCAACGGGAAACAGCUGUGUGGCCCAUGCUGUCUCCUCGGCCCCAAGCGGGGACGCGUGCUGCAGACGAGGGACAGGCGGCGACAGCCGGACAAGGAAGUCCCUUGCCACGGACCAGGCAGAGCGGAUCCGCCUGGCUUGGCUGUGAGGUCACUCAGCAGGGUCCCACCAGCCACGCCGGGCCUCCUCCUCCCGGCCACUGGAGAGGACGCUGCCCAAGGAGUCCUCGGGUGCCACCUCGAAGCGGCCUCAUAGCUCUACUGUGCUGCCCACAGCCUUCCUUGGCCUUAAAAAUGCCACUCAAGGAGGAGGAGGAGCUGGCCUGGGCGUAGGGGGUCAGUGGCUUCUACCCUGAGGAGGAAGAUGUGCCCUGCAGUGCCCCAGCAGAUGACACAUUCACGGUGGACAGGCUCAUCCCAGGAAAACGACACCCCCAGAAGCUGCUGGCGGGUGAUGGCUCCCCAGCUUCCGGGCAGCGCCUUGGCAGCCAGUGCUCCAGGCCUGGCACGGCUUCUCACAGCUCAGCCUGCAGCCUGGGUUCCUCUUCGUGAGCAUCUGCAGUGGCCUGAGUGGCCCCCAAGGGCCCGGCCACGACCCUCACCACACACUGCUGUCCCUCGUGACUCACAUGUGCCUGCUGAGGCUCUGCACCUGGGCCGCCAUCUCCCACCUGUGACCCUCGCCCCCCAGCCCCUCCUCCCAUGGGCCCCGCUUUGCUCUCCUCACAGCACCACGCAGCGGGGGUGGGCGGCUCUUGCUGCCUGUUCAGCGGCCGCCAUCACCCCAACCCUGCUUCCGGGGCCUCCUGUCCGCAAGGCAGACAUGGUGGGUGGGUGUGUGAGUCUGUGGGCGCUGCACGGGGGCUGACGGGCCUCCCUGUCCUCUCAGGUCUCCUUUCUAUCGGCCGUGCUGCUGUCAGGGACACCUUGUAAAGGUGAACAUCAGGUCUCGGUCCGUCACCACAGUAAGCUGUCUAAUAAUUCCCCUUGCUCUUGGAACAAAUCCAGACACCCUCCCUGCCCCAAGACCCACGGAGGGCCCCCCGCUGCUCCCAGCCCCCAAAAGAGGUCACUGCCACGGGUCACUGAUGUGACCCAGAGGACACUGCUUGGCACAGGAGGUGUUUCUGCUCUGAUAUCAGAAAUCGGGUGCUGUUCCAGGAAUUCUCUUUGAAUAAAAAGAGGCCACAAACACCGAUGGCCAGAGGCUGGGAAGAUGUCCAGGUCCCUCCUGUCACCUCACACGGCUGUGCCCUCCCGUGACAUGUGCUCCGGUAGAAACAGAACAGACCAGUGCCAGACACCAAGAGGGUGCGGCCUUUGGGCAGGGGUCACAGAAAUAGAGAGCUUUCCGGGCUGGUUCCUAAAAACAGCUUCAAGUCUCAGCAGUGGCAGGGCUGGCGCCUCACCCAGCCCGUGGUUUCUGCUGCUGUCUCCACCCUUGCGAUUCCAUGCGGAGAACUUCUGCAGGGGGGCAGGAGUGCAGGUGACCCGAGGGCCACACUGAGGCGGAGUAUGGCCUCUUCUCAGACGUACCUGGAGAUCAGUAUCACAGGGACCAGAAUGCAGCGCCAAACACCCGCUCGAUGUCAAACAAGGCGGUGACAGAAGCCAUAGUCGCCACCUUUUCCCAGAGGACUCAGCAAGGUAUUUCAGUUUUCAGUGAGGAAACACAGUCCACGGCUUUCUGCCCUGGCCUCUUGCCCAAGUCCUCUGGGGCUGGGGUGCCCUGUGGCCCAGCAGCCUCAGCAAGGCAUGGUGAGCUCCCACGCCGGGCCAUUGUCAGAGCCAGCCCGGCACCCGCGUGCAUGUUUUCAGGCUACGACAGCAACUUCCUGGUGCCACUGUCCUCAGUCCCCUUCAUCUCAUCUCCCUGUGGAACCCAGCUCCUGUCCCCAAGCCCCUCUGCUCCACUGGUGCCGGCCUGGGCCUGGGGUCUCUGCAGUGGGGGGACUGCUGGGUCACGGUAGCAUCGUGGAGAGCAAGACAGAUGUGGCCUCCUUCAGGGACUGUGCAACUCCUCGGUGACAUCUUGGCCCUCUCGUCCUCCUCGCCAGCACACCUCCAAGGACAGGCACUCCAUCUUCCUGGAUCACCCCUUUCACUUUCUGACAACUUUAUCAGAGCACUCAAGCUGUCACCAGGUCGAGAGCCCUGGCGUCAUCUGCUUCCUGCAGCACAAUGACAGAGUGCAGGAGCCUGCGACAGUUGUCAGCCAUGUCACCUGCCAUUUGCUGGGGCCAGCGCCUGGCCUGUGAUGGAGUCGGUCACUUCCGCUCUGCACCAGCGCAGCUAUGGCUUCUGCCACCAGCCGUUCACACUCUAGCAGAUAACUGCUGGCCACAGCAGGUCUGGAGCACUGCAGGAAUCCGGGCUGACCAGAUAAAGCCCAUUAUCACUGCAGCCGCAGUGUACAGGCUCACUGAGGACUUACAGGACAUUUUGUCAACAUGUGGGCUUGUCCCGGGAACACGGGUGUUGGGUCUGACAUGAAGGACCGGAGGCUCCGGAGAUAGCAGGCCUGCUUAUCAGCCAUGGUGCCCGAGUGAGGUCAAACAUCAACACCACAGCCGUCCCAGAUGAAAACAAGUCCUAGAACACCAGGGCAGGAAGAUCCCCGAGCCACUGGGGAUGGAGGAAAUGAGACCCAGCAAGGGAACCAGAGGGGACCACAGUCUGCAGGCAAGGCUCAGGUCUCCUAGCAACAAAAGAAGGCCCUGUCCCCUUUGCAGACUGGACCAGGCAUAGAAAGGCAAGGGGAGAGGUCCAGAGUCAGUGACAAUCUACUUCUCUAGAACCACAGUUUAUUAUGCUGUUUCUGGAUGGUGUCUUGAAUGUAUCCUUGAGAUCCAGUGAAAAUGGGGUAAAUAUAUUACUUGUUGCAGGCAUAAUGGUGCGCACCUGUAAUCCCAGCACUUUGGAGGCUGAGGCAGGAGGAUUCCCAUGAG